rnacentral:rRNA from 1 species
UACGAAGGGUGCAAGCGUUACUCGGAAUUACUGGGCGUAAAGCGUGCGUAGGUGGUGAGUUAAGUCUGAUGUGAAAUCCCCGGGCUCAACCUGGGAAUGGCAUUGGAUACUGGCUCGCUAGAGUGCGGUAGAGGUGGUGGAAUUCCCGGUGUAGCAGUGAAAUGCGUAGAUAUCGAGAGGAACACCAGUGGCGAAGGCGAGUCCCUGGACAACUCCUGACACUGAGGCACGAAAGCUAGGGAGCAAACAGG